CGCCAGUCACAUCCAGGCAGCGUUCCGCUUCCUACUCAUGUCUGGAAAUUCCCGAGUUAAUGCGCUGUUCAGUAGGUUGCAUUAAAACAAACAGCUUGAGAUAUGAUGUUUGGUUUAUGCAGAACGGAUGACUAAUGUAGACCACGCAUUAGAAAACAGUCACUUCCUUUCAACUGCUGGGAAAUUCCAGUAAAGGACGAGGUGAUUAUUAAUCCUGCUGAGUCGGACCGCGGAGGAUCGGAGAGCAGGCAGACGGCUCCUUUCACUGCGUCUGCGAGCAGGCGGGCGGCUCCUCCGAUUGCUUCUGAGAGCAGGCGGACAGCUCUUCUCACCGAGCAGGCAGACGGCUCUUCUGGCAGCUUUAAAGGUUUCUUCGCUCUUUGUGUCCGCGGAUGACGGCGUCCUCACAAGACAUGGCUCCAUUACUGAAGCUGUAUGCUAUUGGCACAAUGCUGUCGCUGGCGGCAGCGAUCAUCGGCUUGGUUGACUCCGUGGGAGGCCUAAUGUAUGUUCAAGGACUAGAUAUGGACAACAACUGGACCGAGAGGAAUCCCCCAAAGACUUGUUUAAGGCGCAAGGGUUUCGGAUCGUGACGGGGACCUGGGUGUCUAUGCGUCCGGACGCCUGCAAAUGUUUUCGCUCAUCAAUCACUGGACAGAUUCUUUAAUAUGCUCAUGUGACGAACUUCGUUGUUUUAAUGGUGUACAGUAUAGCAGUCUUGAGAAUAUUCAUGAUCGGCUGGGAUCACUUUUGAUGAUUUCUCACUUCUCUGUUUCACUUUGUGCGCGAUUUAAUAAAGAAUAAAAGUUAUAGCCGUG